rnacentral:rRNA from 1 species
CCUACGGGAGGCAGCAGUGAGGAAUAUUGGUCAAUGGACGAGAGCCUGAACCAGCCAAGCAGCGUGAAGGAUGACUGCCCUAGGGGUUGUAAACUUCUUUUAUAGGGGAAUAAAAUGCUCCACGUGUGGGAUUUUGGAUGUACCAUAUGAAUAAGGAUCGGCUAACUCCGUGCCAGCAGCCGCGGUAAUACGGAGGAUCCGAGCGUUAUCCGGAUUUAUUGGGUUUAAAGGGAGCGUAGGUGGGUUGUUAAGUCAGUUGUGAAAGUUUGCGGCUCAACCGUAAAAUUGCAGUUGAAACUGGCAGUCUUGAGUACAGUAGAGGUAGGCGGAAUUCGUGGUGUAGCGGUGAAAUGCUUAGAUAUCACGAAGAACUCCGAUGGCGAAGGCAGUUCACUGGACUGCAACUGACGCUGAGGCUCGAAAGUGUGGGUAUCAAACAGGAUUAGAUACCCGAGUAGUC